rnacentral:rRNA from 1 species
UACAGAGGUCUCAAGCGUUUGUUCGGAUUCAUUGGGCGUAAAGGGUGCGUAGGUGGCGCCGUAAGUCGGGUGUGAAAUUUCGGAGCUUAACUCCGAAACUGCAUUCGAUACUGCGGUGCUUGAGGACUGGAGAGGAGACUGGAAUUCAUGGUGUAGCAGUGAAAUGCGUAGAGAUCAUGAGGAAGACCAGUGGCGAAGGCGGGUCUCGUGGACAGUUCCUGACACUGAGGCACGAAGGCCAGGGGAGCAAACGGG